GGGCCUGUAGCUCAGCAAGGCAGAGCAUCGGGCUUUUAACCCGGUGGUCAGGGGUUCAACUCCCCUCAGGCCCGCCA
rnacentral:tRNA from 1 species